GGUCAAGUUACUAAGAGCAUACGGAGGAUGCCUUGGUGCAGGAAGGCGAUGAAGGACGUGGCCAGCUGCGAUAAGCUCCGGGGAGUCGUUAAACAGACUUUGAUCCGGAGAUUUCCGAAUGGGGAAACCCAGCCGGGUAAACCCCGGCUAUCCUCACCUGAAUCCAUAGG
rnacentral:rRNA from 1 species